UUUUGCAAAUUUAUAAAUCAGUGUGCAAUUGAUGCAUUAUUUGCCAUAAUAAACAUAAUUCAUACUACGUAAGAGUAAGGCCAAUACAAGAAUAACCUGUGACUACUGAUGCGCAAAACUGUCCACCAUAUUGUGUGAGCAGUGAAAAUAGAUGCAAAAAAUGAGCAUAAUAGUAGAACUUAACAGGGCUACCAUUGAAACUGGGUCUCAGAGUAUCCAAGUUGACCCAGGUGAUCGAAACAUCUUCAAACUCAAGAAGCAUGCUUUUAGAAGCAAGAGAGAUAGACAACCCCUUAACAGUGCUUACCCUUAAAGUGUUAGUAAUAGUGUGUGAGCAUUAUUUGUUUGUCAUUUGGAAAGCAAUAGAAUAGAUAUUUUGUUCUUUUCUUGGUUUAGACAGGAUUUCAAUGAAAAGAAACAAAUCACCUUUGAAAAUAUUAUUGGCCACAAGAGGGCAUCAGAUAAUCUUCCAACUUCCAGCUGCAAGUUGUAUUUGAAAAUAAUUUCCCUUCUCCAUGAAAAGCAUUAACGUUCACUCAAGGCCGGGACUGCCAUGGACUCAAGGUUCAUAGAAAAAUACUGGACCAGGAAGCAGGAGACCCGGAUUCUGUUCCUAACGGGGGCCUUGGGAAAUCAAAACCUUCCUGGAUCUUGAUUUUUUUUCAUAAAAUGAUAUUGAACUAGAUAACAUA